rnacentral:rRNA from 1 species
CCUACGGGAGGCUGCAGUGAGGAAUAUUGGUCAAUGGUCGGGAGACUGAACCAGCCAAGCCGCGUGAGGGAUGAAGGUACAGAGUAUCGUAAACCUCUUUUGUCAGGGAACAAAGGCGGGGACGUGUCCCCGGAUGAGUGUACCUGAAGAAAAAGCAUCGGCUAACUCCGUGCCAGCAGCCGCGGUAAUACGGAGGAUGCGAGCGUUAUCCGGAUUUAUUGGGUUUAAAGGGUGCGCAGGCGGUCUGUUAAGUCAGCGGUCAAAGCCCGGGGCUCAACCCCGGCCCGCCGUUGAAACUGGCAGUCGCGAGUUGGAGAGAAGUAUGCGGAAUGCGCGGUGUAGCGGUGAAAUGCAUGGAUAUCGCGCAGAACUCCGAUUGCGAAGGCAGCAUGCCGGCUCCACACUGACGCUGAGGCACGAAAGCGUGGGUAUCGAACAGGAUUAGAUACCCGGGUAGUC